GUGAGGAAUAUUGGGCAAUGGGGGGAACCCUGACCCAGCAACGCCGCGUGGAGGAUGACGGCCUUCGGGUUGUAAACUCCUUUUGUGGGGGAAGAGGAAGGACGGUACCCUGCGAAUAAGUCACGGCUAACUACGUGCCAGCAGCCGCGGUAAUACGUAGGUGACGAGCGUUAUCCGGAUUUACUGGGCGUAAAGCGCACGCAGGCGGCCUGUUAAGUUUGGCGUGAAAUCUCUCGGCUUAACUGGGAGGGCGCGUUGAAGACUGGCGGGCUUGAGGCAGCGAGAGGGGUGUGGAAUUCCCGGUGUAGUGGUGGAAUGCGUAGAGAUCGGGAGGAACACCAGAGGCGCAAGCGACACCCUGGCGCUGGUCUGACGCUCAGGUGCGAAAGCGUGGGGAGCGAACGGGAUUAGAAACCCUAGUAGUCC
rnacentral:rRNA from 1 species